rnacentral:rRNA from 1 species
GAGUUAUCAAAGCCUUCGGGUGGCGAUAACGGCGUCGAGCGGCGGACGGGUGAGUAAUGCCUGGGAAAUUGCCCUGAUGUGGGGGAUAACCAUUGGAAACGAUGGCUAAUACCGCAUAAUAGCUUCGGCUCAAAGAGGGGGACCUUCGGGCCUCUCGCGUCAGGAUAUGCCCAGGUGGGAUUAGCUAGUUGGUGAGGUAAGGGCUCACCAAGGCGACGAUCCCUAGCUGGUCUGAGAGGAUGAUCAGCCACACUGGAACUGAGACACGGUCCAGACUCCUACGGGAGGCAGCAGUGGGGAAUAUUGCACAAUGGGCGCAAGCCUGAUGCAGCCAUGCCGCGUGUAUGAAGAAGGCCUUCGGGUUGUAAAGUACUUUCAGCAGUGAGGAAGGCAGGUACGUUAAUAGCGUGCUUGUUUGACGUUAGCUGCAGAAGAAGCACCGGCUAACUCCGUGCCAGCAGCCGCGGUAAUACGGAGGGUGCGAGCGUUAAUCGGAAUUACUGGGCGUAAAGCGCAUGCAGGUGGUUUGUUAAGUCAGAUGUGAAAGCCCGGGGCUCAACCUCGGAAUUGCAUUUGAAACUGGCAGACUAGAGUACUGUAGAGGGGGGUAGAAUUUCAGGUGUAGCGGUGAAAUGCGUAGAGAUUGGAAAGAACACCGAUGGCGAAGGCACUUUACUGGGCUAUUACUAACACUCAGAGACGAAAGCUAGGGUAGCAAAUGGGAUUAGAUACCCUGGUA